GCAAGUCGAACGAGAAAGCACCUUCGGGUGUGAGUAGAGUGGCGAACGGGUGAGUAACACGUGGGUAAUCUACCUCUUGGCGGGGGACAACAUUUGGAAACGAAUGCUAAUACCGCAUAAGUCGGCUUCGGCCGGGAAAGGUGGCUUCGGCUACCGCCAGGGGAUGAGCCCGCGACCCAUCAGUUAGUUGGCAGGGUAAUGGCCUACCAAGGCGACGACGGGUAGCUGGUCUGAGAGGAUGAUC
rnacentral:rRNA from 1 species